rnacentral:rRNA from 2 species
UGGGGAAUAUUGGACAAUGGGCGAAAGCCUGAUCCAGCCAUGCCGCGUGAAUGAUGAAGGCCUUAGGGUUGUAAAGUUCUUUCAACGGUGAAGAUAAUGACGGUAACCGUAGAAGAAGCCCCGGCUAACUUCGUGCCAGCAGCCGCGGUAAUACGAAGGGGGCUAGCGUUGUUCGGAAUUACUGGGCGUAAAGCGCACGUAGGCGGACUUUUAAGUCAGGGGUGAAAUCCUGGGGCUCAACCCCAGAACUGCCUUUGAUACUGGAAGUCUAGAGUAUGGUAGAGGUGAGUGGAAUUCCGAGUGUAGAGGUGAAAUUCGUAGAUAUUCGGAAGAACACCAGUGGCGAAGGCGGCUCACUGGACCAUUACUGACGCUGAGGUGCGAAAGCGUGGGGAGCAAACAGG